ACGAUAUGCUUUGGGGAGCUGUAAGUAAGCUUUGAUCCAGAGAUUUCCGAAUGGGGAAACCCAGCAUGAGUUAUGUCAUGUUAUCGAUAUGUGAAUACAUAGCAUAUCAGAAGGCACACCCGGAGAACUGAAACAUCUUAGUACCCGGAGGAAGAGAAAGAAAAUUCGAUUCCCUUAGUAGCGGCGAGCGAAACGGGAAGAGCCCAAACCAACAAGCUUGCUUGUUGGGGUUGUAGGACACUCUAUACGGAGUUACAAAGGACGACAUUAGACGAAUCAUCUGGAAAGAUGAAUCAAAGAAGGUAAUAAUCCUGUAGUCGAAAAUGUUGUCUCUCUUGAGUGGAUCCUGAGUACGACGGAGCACGUGAAAUUCCGUCGGAAUCUGGGAGGACCAUCUCCUAAGGCUAAAUACUCUCUAGUGACCGAUAGUGAACCAGUACCGUGAGGGAAAGGUGAAAAGCACCCCGGAAGGGGAGUGAAAUAGAACCUGAAACCGUGUGCUUACAAGUAGUCAGAGCCCGUUAAUGGGUGAUGGCGUGCCUUUUGUAGAAUGAACCGGCGAGUUACGAUUUGAUGCAAGGUUAAGCAGUAAAUGUGGAGCCGUAGCGAAAGCGAGUCUGAAUAGGGCGUUUAGUAUUUGGUCGUAGACCCGAAACCAGGUGAUCUACCCUUGGUCAGGUUGAAGUUCAGGUAACACUGAAUGGAGGACCGAACCGACUUACGUUGAAAAGUGAGCGGAUGAACUGAGGGUAGCGGAGAAAUUCCAAUCGAACCUGGAGAUAGCUGGUUCUCUCCGAAAUAGCUUUAGGGCUAGCCUCAAGUGAUGAUUAUUGGAGGUAGAGCACUGUUUGGACGAGGGGCCCCUCUCGGGUUACCGAAUUCAGACAAACUCCGAAUGCCAAUUAAUUUAACUUGGGAGUCAGAACAUGGG
rnacentral:rRNA from 1 species